rnacentral:rRNA from 1 species
UAGGGAAUCUUCGGCAAUGGACGAAAGUCUGACCGAGCAACGCCGCAUAAGUGAAGAAGGUUUUCGGAUCGUAAAACUCUGUUGUUAGAGAAGAACAAGGACGUUAGUAACUGAACGUCCCCUGACGGUAUCUAACCAGAAAGCCACGGCUAACUACGUGCCAGCAGCCGCGGUAAUACGUAGGUGGCAAGCGUUGUCCGGAUUUAUUGGGCGUAAAGCGAGCGCAGGCGGUUUCUUAAGUCUGAUGUGAAAGCCCCCGGCUCAACCGGGGAGGGUCAUUGGAAACUGGGAGACUUGAGUGCAGAAGAGGAGAGUGGAAUUCCAUGUGUAGCGGUGAAAUGCGUAGAUAUAUGGAGGAACACCAGUGGCGAAGGCGGCUCUCUGGUCUGUAACUGACGCUGAGGCUCGAAAGCGUGGGGAGCAAACAGG